rnacentral:rRNA from 1 species
GACGUAGGGCGCGAGCGUUGUCCGGAUUUAUUGGGCGUAAAGAGCUCGUAGGCGGUUUGUCGCGUCUGCCGUGAAAGUCCGGGGCUCAACUCCGGAUCUGCGGUGGGUACGGGCAGACUAGAGUGAUGUAGGGGAGACUGGAAUUCCUGGUGUAGCGGUGAAAUGCGCAGAUAUCAGGAGGAACACCGAUGGCGAAGGCAGGGUCUCUGGGCAUUAACUGACGCUGAGGAGCGAAAGCAUGGGGAGCGAACAGGA